rnacentral:pre_miRNA from 1 species
UUUUUAAUAUAAGUAUGUUCCAUGCAUCAUUUGGGAUAUACUUACACUGAAA